GCUAGUGGCCAUACCACCUGUUGAACACACCUGUUCAGGGUCUGGUCUGAUUAGUACUGGGACAGGAGACAGUCUGUGAAUACCAGGUGCCGUAAGCU
rnacentral:rRNA from 1 species